GCGUUUGUAGCUCAGCAGGAUAGAGCAACCGCCUCCUAAGCGGUAGGUCAUCGGUUCGAUUCCGAUCAAACGCA
rnacentral:tRNA from 1 species